UUGCAUAUUGCAUACAUAUAUGUAUGUAUGUACGUACAGUAGAAUAUCGAAAAAGUUAAUUAAAAUGUCCCAAGAGUGUUUUAAUAUAUCGACAAUAAUUUUUUACAAAGAAAUUUGGGGAAAACAUAACAAUUGUUUAUCUUGCCAAACAAACGGUUGGGUUUGAAAAAUAAAUAGAUAAGUGCAAAAAGGUUAACCUAAAGUUAGCCGAAGGUUUAACUUUCUCGCGGGUUUACUCUUGCGCGAUUCUACCUUAUUUUUUAUUGUUAGAUUUGGCGCAAUUCCUCCAUGAAAACAUACAUAUGUACAUAUCGCUCAUUUGCUGCAAGACCGGCAUAAUUCAAAAAAACGUGAUUUUUGAGUUAAUAAUGCAGAAUUGUUCGUUAUAUCAUACUUCAUAUUGAGUGAAAAAUUCAUAUGAAUACCUCUUAUAUGCUCCGCUUGAGAAGAGGUGUAAGGUUGGAGUCACCGUGUAAGGUUGUAGUCAGUUGAAAACUUUAAACGCGUUUUCUGG